CGGAAGGGGCAAGCGUUGUUCGGAAUCAUUGGGCGUAAAGGGCGUGUAGGUGGUUCUGUAUGUCUACCGUGAAAGCGUACGGCUCAACCGUAUUUAGUCGGUAGAAACUGCAGGACUUGAGGCUGGGAGGGGCUGGUGGGAUUCCCCGUGUAGCGGUGAAAUGCGUAGAGAUGGGGGAGAACACUCGUGGCGAAGGCGGCCAGCUAGACCAGUUCUGACACUGAGGCGCGACAGCGUGGGGAGCAAACAGGAUUAGAUACCCUGGUAGUCCACGCUGUAAACGAUGGGCACUAGGUGCUGGCGGUCUUGAUCCCGUCGGUGCCGGCGCUAACGCAGUAAGUGCCCCGCCUGGGGAGUACGGUCGCAAGGCUG
rnacentral:rRNA from 1 species